ensembl:lncRNA novel transcript
CCAAUGCUGGAGGAUACAUGUGAUGACAUGAAAUGUUCCUAUUUUCCAAAGUUUUCAUCUACCAAGUCGUUCAUGUACGGUUUAGCACCGUUAAUAUAAGUUCACUCCUCAAAGUAAUAGGUUCUGUGACAGAAGAUUCUUGGUCCUAAAUUUCUGAUUCAAAAAUGGGAAAAAAUUCCAAGAUAUAAAAGCUGUUCACCAGUAUUCCGGUUAAAUGUAUAACAUCAUAGAACAAUAUGAGUGAUCAUUGAGUCACCUUUCCCAGAUGUCUCACAGAAAACCUCCUCUGACUAUAAUGCCCAUGGAAAAUCAUCUUAAUUCCAGAAAGCGGGGGCUGACGGGACACUGUUGAGAGGAUCCAACAUUCCGCUGCUGCCAGGUGUUGAGGAAAUGCACACACCCUCAUGAGAGAGACACAAACCAUCACAGAGCAUCAGAAGUGGAUGAAACUUCUUGGCCUGGAGAAUUAAAAAAAAAAAAA